rnacentral:rRNA from 1 species
UACAGAGGGUGCGAGCGUUAAUCGGAAUUACUGGGCGUAAAGCGCACGUAGGCGGCUUGGUAUGUCGGGUGUGAAAUCCCCGGGCUCAACCUGGGAACUGCAUUUGUGACUGCAUCGCUGGAGUACGGCAGAGGGGGAUGGAAUUCCGCGUGUAGCAGUGAAAUGCGUAGAUAUGCGGAGGAACACCGAUGGCGAAGGCAAUCCCCUGGGCCUGUACUGACGCUCAUGCACGAAAGCGUGGGGAGCAAACAGG